CAUAGGGAGGGUGGGUGCGGAUUGAUAAAUGCACAGGCCAAAACUCUCAGCUGCUGUGUACAAUAAUGUAUACAGCAGCAAAAAUUAAAAACCUCCAUCAGAAAGUGUGUGUUCCCUAAUGAACACACACUUUCUGAUGUUCUGUGACCUACCAGCUGAAACCCCCCUUUUCUCCACCCAACUUUACACUACUCUCUUAGCAUGGGUGGCUGUAAGUACACUAGGGCAAACAUAAGAUUCCUUUCCUUUGGGUAUGUUUUGUUUCUUUUUAUUGCUAUUUUUUCAGUUGUAUCCUACAUCUUUGGCCUGACCUCCAUUAGUGAUGUCCAAACUAGCUCAAUGUAAACUGAAAAUAUUAUCAAACUGUCAACCAAAAGUAAACACAUCACCUGUAGGUACAGUAGAGUAAAGCCAAGUUUCCUUUUGUUUGGGUAUUUUUUUUUUCUUCUUCAGUUGUCUCUACCAUCUUUGUCCUGACCAUUAGUGCUGUCCUGACUAGCUCACUGUGAGCAGAAAAAAAUUACCAAACCGUCAACCAGAAGUAAACACAUCACUUUGGACCACUCAAAGACACAGUCUACUUGCUGUUUAACCCAGUCUUUGGUCGGAGGUGAAGAAGAGAUGACAUCCUCCACACCAUCCCCCUGCUGCUCUCAACAACCAUCAUCGCUGUGCUGGACAGACUGCAGCACCCACCAGGACCCUUCUCUCAUGGACUACACAAACAUGUGUUUUACCUGCUCGUGCUCCAGAUGUCCUGAAGCAGCUCUCAAGGACCACCAGACACCAGGCUGAAGCAGAACUGAUGCUGUAGUACCUGUCACUCACUUGGCUCGUUCCUGCUGAACCUCCAAGAGACAAACCCCUCUUCAAGAAAGUCUGAGGUAAUGUCUUGGUGAACUUAGUUAUCUUAGCUGCUGUAUUAAUGCUUGUGACGCUAUUGUGCAGCUCUGCUGAUAUCAUCGUCUUUAACAGCAGUGUUUUCUCCCAGGUCUUCUUCAAGCCAGUUAAGAGAGGAAGAACAGCUUAGACACUCAGGCAGCUGAACGCACCAAAGAUGGACAUCAUGCAGCCACCCUGAGCCUUGAGCCUCUCUGUGCUCUUUGCUGCUGCAGACCUGGUGAAGUUGCUCUGGACAGAAAUAUUUUUUGCUCUGCUGCAGUGCUGAAGGUAUUCAUUGUAAUGAUGUGUGUAUUUAUUCAACGUGUUUAGUUUCACAGAUUAUCAACACAAAUGUUUCUGUUUAUUUCCUGUUUUGAACCAGCUACAUUCUCCUACUUCAAGUCACUGUCUGUUCAUCCACGGUGUAGCCAGUACAGCUCAGCAGAGUCCUACUAAUGGUGAUCCUUCAAGUCCUGCAGCCCUAUGAAGCAAGCUGCAGCAGAUGUCAACACAUUCAGAUCAUCAGUUUAUCUUUACUGCAGCUUUAAACUUUCCCAGAGGUAACGGUGUAUUUCCUUGCCCCAUAACAAAAACCAUGUUUGACCAACAUAGAAAAGCACAGAAUUACUGUUAGCACAGGAUUACAGAGUUAAAGUGAAGGGGAUUUUGUUUGUUUUUUUCAGACCUCUCCUCCUCCUGCCUCUGACUCCAGUGAUGCUGUCAACUCGAACACUGAUAACUGCACACAGCGAUCCUACAACCACAGGUCAAAGGUCAAAACAUU